rnacentral:rRNA from 1 species
GACGAACCGUGCAAACGUUAUUCGGAUUCACUGGGCUUAAAGGGCGCGUAGGCGGGCCAUCCAGUCAGGGGUGAAACUCUUUCGGCUCAACCGGAAAGUGCCUUUGAAUACUGAUGGUCUCGAGGGAGGUAGGGGCAUGCGGAACUUCCGGUGGAGCGGUGAAAUACGUAGAUAGUCGGAAGGAACGGCCGGGUGGCGAAAGCGGCGAGUGGCUGG